AGGACAUGCAAUUCUGCUUCAGUUAAACUCAACUUAUAACACUUGGCAAAAAGAAAGAAAAACUUAUGAGCUCCUUUGACAUCAAUAUCAAGGUAGGCUGAUCUCCAUAACACAAGGACCAACAAGAAGACUCAAAAUGAACAUAUAGUCCAAGAUAGGCGCCGCUAUGGUCCAGUUCUGGGGUGAAAUUGAAACUGCACGGGUAAUUUUCG
rnacentral:misc_RNA from 1 species